AAAAGACUCGCUGUUGCUAUAUAACAGAACGGCAUGGUUCAAUAUAUGUCACUAAUAUACUUGUCUGGAAGCAGAGACCGUCAAGAUGAGGCACGUCGUAUCUGUUGUUCUGAUUGCUGCCGUACUGGUUAUGGCCCAAGCCACCUAUCCUGCACCCCUCCCAAACAGACCAGCUCCUCGCAGACACGUUAUCAGAGGAGGAGGAGGCCGCCAUCCGUUCCUUCCCGACAUCCAUGUUAUAGUCAAUGCAAACCAGCGUAUGCAUAACAAUAAUAAUGCUGGAGGGGGUCGUUAUCCCCGUCUGCCGUAUCCGAAUGGCGACUUUGGUACUGGAGGUAAUGUGGCUUUUGUUGGCACUGGUCAGGGUGGAGCUGUACCAUCAAGACCAGACUUCUCACAGCCAAAACUGUUUGGGUAACAUGAGAGUUUAGAAGUCUUGAUCUUUGACCUACAACAGCAUCACGUACUACUGAAACAGUGCCGCAGUGAAGUAUUUUGACAGAUAUGAUGCAUUUAAUGCAUUUUACUUCAAGAUAAAAAAAUAUCAACAAAA